rnacentral:rRNA from 1 species
UACGGGGGGAGCAAGCGUUGUUCGGAUUUACUGGGCGUAAAGGGCGCGUAGGCGGUCAGCACAAGUCAGUUGUGAAAUCUCCGGGCGUUAACUCGGAAAGGUCAACUGAUACUGUGCGACUAGAGUGCGGAAGGGGCAACUGGAAUUCUCGGUGUAGCGGUGAAAUGCGUAGAUAUCGAGAGGAACACCUGAGGUGAAGACGGGUUGCUGGGCUGACACUGACGCUGAGGCGCGAAAGCCAGGGGAGC